rnacentral:lncRNA from 1 species
UUUUCUGAUAACUUAGCCAUGUAAAGCAUGGUAAUCUAUGCAACAAGCUGGAAUUCAUAUUCUGUUGGUUCUGUUGAUCUUUAUCAUUUCAGACGAUGAAUCAUAUGUUUAGGCACUUCUCAUGUUCAAUAAAUGCCAAUUGUGUUUUUAUGUAAAUUUUGGUUAUGGCAUGUAGAAGCUGCUCUUUUAUUUUGGUCUUCUAUCUGCCAAUCAAGUAUAGGAUUAUUUGCUUUGUACUUGUAGGCUCUUGAAAGGAUGCUUCAGUAUUACAAGCAAACAGACAAUAAAGUACCCACUCAAGAAAGGAAAAGAAUGAGAUUGAUGCUGUCAUCAUUUCCGUUUGUUGGAUUACUAAACGUUGCUGUAAGUUGAUUUUCGUUGUUUGAUCACAUUAUGCAUACUGCUUGUUUAUUUUUAUAUAAAAAAUGCAUACUGCUUGUUUAUGCUUGCAUUUAUUUGUUUUACUUGUCUUGACCAUUUAUCUAUAAUUUUUAAGAGUGAGAUAACCUGCCUCCUUAAGAAAAUGGUGCAUUUUUGGUUGUGAAUAACUUCUAUCUUGAUCCUUAUAAACAAUAUCCAUGAAUAGUAUCGACUUUCUCACACCUUGGGUAUUUGCACAAUAUUGAAGAGUAAGUUUCUGGAAAAGAAUCUCCGAUGAUAAUACUGAACUUUGUAUGUGACUGAAAUUAUGGAAGAGCUGCAAUAGUACAGAAGAGUAAGUUUCUGGAAAAGAAUCUCUGAUGAUAAUACUGAACUUUGUAUGUGACUGAAAUUAUGGAAGAGCUGCAAUAGUAUAUAUAGACUUUUUUCUGAGUCCAACUAUGAAAGAGGUUGCUUUGAUCCCCUCUUCUUACAGUUUGUACUAACCAAGUGCAACUAAUCUGAAUAUUACAUGCCUAAGUUUAGAGAAUAUUAGAUUUCUUGAGUUGCUUUUUUUCCCCAUACAACUUUGCUGUUACUUAGCCUUAUAUAUUGGUGAGAUUAAUAACCGAAUACAUGAAUAUGAGGAUGGCAACUUAUGAUGCAUGUAUCCGAACUUUCCUUGAUACAUGUACCCACAAUUAAUGAUAUAUGUAUCAUGUAUCUGACUUUUUCGUGAUACUUAAUUGUAUGAAAACCUUUAUAUGAUAUAUGCACUAAAUGAGAUUAACAUCUACUCAGGGAUGGCAAUGAAUUGAAUUGAGUUGAAUACGUACCUUCCAAAUUUGUUGGUAUAGAAAACUGAUCCUAGUGGCGUCGUUCUUAACCAAGUAGUUGUAGAAAAACUUAAUCGUGUAUAUACCCGCGGUCUUGAGGCUCUAUACUGGUAAAUCGUUGCUUCCAUUUAGAUACAUUUUGGAUAUUGACUUGAGAAGGGACUCAUACUCAUUAAUCUCUCAGUCAUGAGGUUUCUCAUUAACUUUACUUUUAGACCCCCAUAUGUUGCUGAAUGGCUUACAGAUUAUGAUGUCUUUGUAUCGUGCAAUAGUAAAAAUCUGGGGGAACUGAUCUCUAACUGCUCCCUCUCUUAACCAAGAUCUGUCCAAAACUGAUUCU